rnacentral:rRNA from 1 species
GACGAACGCUGGCGGCGUGCCUAAUACAUGCAAGUAGAACGCACAGUUUAUACCGUAGCUUGCUACACCAUAAACUGUGAGUUGCGAACGGGUGAGUAACGCGUAGGUAACCUGCCUGGUAGCGGGGGAUAACUAUUGGAAACGAUAGCUAAUACCGCAUAAUAUUAAUUAUUGCAUGAUAAUUGAUUGAAAGAUGCAAUUGCAUCACUACCAGAUGGACCUGCGUUGUAUUAGCUAGUAGGUGAGGUAACGGCUCACCUAGGCGACGAUACAUAGCCGACCUGAGAGGGUGAUCGGCCACACUGGGACUGGGACACGGCCCAGACCCCUACGGGAGGCAGCAGUAGGGAAUCUUCGGCAAUGGACGAAAGUCUGACCGGGCAACGCCGCGGGAGGGAAGAAGGGUUUCGGAUCGUAAAGCUCUGUUGUAAGAGAAGAACGGGGGUGGGAGUGGAAAGUUCCAACUGUGACGGUAUUUUAACAAAAAGGGACGGCUAACUUCCU